AACGAACGCUGGCGGCAGGCUUAACACAUGCCAGUCGAGCGAGACCUUCGGGUCUAGCGGCGGACGGGUGAGUAACGCGUGGGAACGUGCCCUUCUCUACGGAAUAGCCCCGGGAAAUUGGGAGUAAUACCGUAUACGCCUUUCGGGGGAAAGCUUUAUCGGAGAAGGAUCGGCCCGAGUUGGAUUAGGUAGUGGGUAGGGUAAUGGCCCACCAAGCCGACGAUCCAUAGCUGGCUUGCGAGGGUGAUCAGCCACACUGGGACUGAGACACGGCCCAGACUCCUAGGAGAGGCAGCAGUGGGGGAUCUUAGACAAUGGGGGCGACCCAGAUCUAGCCAUGCCGGGUGAGUGAUGAAGGCCUUGGGGUUGUAAAGCUCUUUCAGCUGAGAAGAUAAUGACGGUACCUGCAGAAGAAGCCCCGGCUAACUCCGUG
rnacentral:rRNA from 1 species